rnacentral:rRNA from 1 species
GUAGGGAAUAUUGGGCAAUGGAGGCAACUCUGACCCAGCCAUGCCGCGUGCAGGAUGACGGCCCUCUGGGUUGUAAUCUGCUUUUAUACGGGAAGAAAAAAUACUACGUGUAGUAUACUGACGGUACCGUAAGAAUAAGGAUCGGCUAACUCCGUGCCAGCAGCCGCGGUAAUACGGAGGAUCCAAGCGUUGUCCGGAUUUAUUGGGUUUAAAGGGUGCGUAGGCGGAUCUUUAAGUCAGUGGUGAAAGCCUGCAGCUUAACUGUAGAAUUGCCAUUGAAACUGAAGAUCUUGAAUGUGGUUAAAGUAGGCGGAAUGUAUCAUGUAGCGGUGAAAUGCUUAGAUAUGAUACAGAACACCGAUAGCGAAGGCAGCUUGCUGAACCAUUAUUGACGCUGAGGCACGAAAGCGUGGGGAGCGAACAGGAUUAGAUACCCCUGUAGUCC